rnacentral:rRNA from 1 species
UACGAAGGGGGCUAGCGUUGCUCGGAAUCACUGGGCGUAAAGCGCACGUAGGCCGAUUGUUAAGUCAGGGGUGAAAUCCUGGAGCUCAACUCCAGAACUGCCCUUGAUACUGACGGUCUCGAGUCCGGGAGAGGUGAGUGGAACUGCGAGUGUAGAGGUGAAAUUCGUAGAUAUUCGCAAGAACACCAGUGGCGAAGGCGGCUCACUGGACCGGUACUGACGCUGAGGUGCGAAAGCGUGGGGAGCAAACAGG